UACGGAGGGGGCUAGCGUUGUUCGGAAUUACUGGGCGUAAAGCGCACGUAGGCGGCUUUGUAAGUUAGAGGUGAAAGUCCAGGGCUUAACCCUGGAAUUGCCUUUAAGACUGCAUCGCUAGAAUCGUGGAGAGGUGAGUGGAAUUCCGAGUGUAGAGGUGAAAUUCGUAGAUAUUCGGAAGAAACACCAGUGGCGAAGGCGACUCACUGGACACGUAUUGACGC
rnacentral:rRNA from 1 species